AUUGAACGCUGGCGGCAUGCCUUACACAUGCAAGUCGAACGGCAGCACGGGAGCAAUCCUGGUGGCGAGUGGCGAACGGGUGAGUAAAGUAUCGGAACGUGCCCAGUCGUGGGGGAUAACGUAGCGAAAGUUACGCUAAUACCGCAUACGAUCUAUGGAUGAAAGCGGGGGAUCGCAAGACCUCGCGCGCUUGUAGCGGUCGCUAGCAGCUUAGGAAGUUGGUGGGGUAAAGGCUAACCAAGCCGACGAUCUGUAGCUGGUCUGAGAGGACGACCAGCCACACUGGGACUGAGACACGGCCCAGACUCCUACGGGAGGCAGCAGUGGGGAAUUUUGGACAAUGGGCGAAAGCCUGAUCCAGCCAUGCCGCGUGCGGGAUGAAGGCCUUCGGGUUGUAAACUGCUUUUGUACGGAACGAAAAGGUUUGGCCUAAUAAGCUGAGCUCAUGACGGUACCGUAAGAAUAAGCACCGGCUAACUACGUGCCAGCCGCCGCCGUAA
rnacentral:rRNA from 1 species